AGGACUGAGGGGUUGGAAGAGACCUUUAGAACAGCUGGUCGUUAUGCCAACCGGGUGUCUGCACUAAGUUCGGCAUCAAUAUGGUGAUCUCCUGGGAGCAGGGGGCCACCAGGUUGCCUAAGGAUGAGUGAACUGGCCCAGAUCAGAAAGGGAGAAGGUCAGAACUUCUGCACUGACCAGUAGUGGGACUGUGCCUGGGCAAUAUAGCAAGAUCUUGGUUCUG
rnacentral:sRNA from 1 species